AUGGCCGAAUCCGCUGUUACCGCUGUGGUUGGGAACAUGAGCAGGCUCGUGAUUCAGGAGACCACAUUCUUGUGUGGAGUCACAGUCGAAGUCACCUUCUUGAAAGAUGAACUAAUGAGGUUGCAGGGCUACCUCAAAGACGCUGAUGUCAAGCGGAGAUCAGGAAAUGCGGCAGUCGCUAUCUUGGUGGUCCAGAUCAGGGAUGCGGCGUAUGUGGCCGAAAAUGUCAUCAAGGCCGUCGAGCACAUGCAGAAAAGUAACAGGCUCAAGAAGGGAUUCGUGGGCGCCGUUUCAAGGUAUGCUCACUUGCCGGCCGAUUUGGUUAACCUUCACCAAGUCGGUGUUCAAGUUAAGCAUGUAAGAAGAAAGAUCAGUGAGAUAUUUGAAAGCGCGCACUGUUUGAAAAUUGAUUUGGAUACUAGUGCAGAUGAGGAUGAGUUCCCACAAGAUUACUGUCUUAUGCACCAAAACUUUGAAGAUGACAUUGUGAUGGUUGGUUUUCAGGAUGAGUAUAAAGAAAUAGUGGAUAAAUUAGUUCAUGGAGAAAACAUGCUUAGCGUUGUUUCCAUAGUCGCCAUGGGUGGGGCGGGAAAAACUACACUUGCAAGAAAAGUAUGCACUUCAUCUAGAGUGAAGCAACAUUUUGAUACCAUUGCUUGGGUGAGUGUAUCUCAAAAGUUCAAGGGCAUUGAUUUACUAAACGAUAUUAUGAAGCAAAUAAUGGGGGCCAACGAUGAGCAAGUUGAUCAAAUGCAGGAGUAUGAUGUGGGGAAGAAGAUAAGUGAUUUUCUGUUGCAAAAGAGAUACCUAGUAGUUCCGGAUGAUGUGUGGGAAACAGACACAUGGGAGCAAAUAAACAGGACAAUUAAAGCCUUUCCAGACGCAUCUAAUGGUAGUAGAGUACUGCUAACCACACGAAAGGAAGAUGUUGCAAAUCAUGUUCAGAUGCCAACCCAUGUUCAUGUUUUGAAGCACUUAGAUGAAGAGAAAAGUUGGGAACUUUUUAGUAGCAAAGCUUUACCAUCAUACAAAAGAUCUGUCAUGUGUGAUGUGGAUGAGUUUGAAGAGGUAGGGAGAAAGCUUGCUCAUAAAUGUGAUGGAUUGCCACUUGCAUUGAUAGUGUUGGGGGGUUAUCUAUCAAAGAAUCUGAACACACAAGCAUGGUCUGAUGUGCUAUUUGGCUGGCCGUUAACCAAAAGCACACAAAUGAUGCGAGAUAUACUAGCUCGUAGUUACAAGGAUCUGCCCUGUCACUAUUUAAGAACUUGCUUCCUCUAUCUUGCUGCUUUUCCUGAGGAUUAUGAAAUACAUGUGCCGAACCUUAUUGAAUUAUGGAUGGCCGAAAGCUUCAUUCCGCAUACACCAAGUCAUAAACCAGAAGAAAUAGCACACAAGUAUGUUACUGAGUUGGCUCAGAGAAACUUGAUUCAAGUUGUCCAUAGAAGCAGGGCACAUAAAUGGAUUCAAACAAUAAAGAUUCAUGAUAUUUUACGGGACUGGUGCAUAGAAGAAGCAAGACAAGAUGGUUUUCUUGAUAUUAUCGACAAAAAUGCAGGUCAGGCUAGUGCAGCAUCGUAUGAUACCAUGAUUUGUCAUCGUUCUUCUUUCCAAAACCUGAGUGGACAAAUUUUACAUGGAACAACUCCUAUUCUCCGAACUCUCUUUGGCUUCGGACUCUCAUCAGUAUCUCUACCUAAAAUGACUUCCUUAAGGGUUCUUCACAUCCAAAACUCAAUCCUAAAGGAUUUUUCUAGGACAAUUGGAGGGUCCAUUCACCUAAGGUGCCUUAGAUUGACUGGAUGCAGACAUGUAGUUCUCCCUUCUUCAAUUGGAGAACUCCUUUAUUUGCAGACUAUAGAUCUCAAAGGCACUGAAUUGGACUCGCUAGUACCAAACUCCCUCUGGGAUAUUCCUACUCUAAGGCAUGUUUACCUGAAUAAGGAGUUUUCUCCACCAAAGAGGUUGCAACAAAAAGAGCUUCAGACCUUCUGGUUAGUUGUUAGAUCCUUUGGCACUGAAUUGUCAGCCUAA
rnacentral:rRNA from 1 species